UACGUAGGGUCCGAGCGUUGUCCGGAAUUACUGGGCGUAAAGCGCACGUAGGCGGAUUGGAAAGUCAGAGGUGAAAUCCCAGGGCUCAACCUUGGAACUGCCUUUGAAACUCCCAGUCUUGAGUUCGAGAGAGGUGAGUGGAAUUCCGAGUGUAGAGGUGAAAUUCGUAGAUAUUCGGAGGAACACCAGUGGCGAAGGCGGCUCACUGGCUCGAUACUGACGCUGAGGUGCGAAAGCGUGGGGAGCAAACAGG
rnacentral:rRNA from 1 species